CUACGGGGCGCAGCAGUGGGGAAUAUUGGACAAUGGGGGAAACCCUGAUCCAGCAAUGCCGCGUGUGUGAAGAAGGCCUGCGGGUUGUAAAGCACUUUCGGUUGGGAGGACUGCUUCUAGCACUAAUAUUGUUGGAAGUUGACGUUACCUUCAGAAGAAGCACCGGCUAACUCCGUGCCAGAAGCGGUAAUACGGAGGGUGCAAGCGUUAAUCGGAAUUACUGGGCGUAAAGCGCGCGUAGGCGGCUAGAUCAGUCGGGUGUGAAAGCCCCGGGCUUAACCUGGGAACUGCAUCCGAUACUGUCUAGCUAGAGUACAGGAGAGGAGAGUGGAAUUCCACAUGUAGCGGUGAAAUGCGUAGAUAUGUGGAGGAACACCAAUGGCGAAGGCAGCUCUCUGGCCUGAUACUGACGCUGAGGUGCGAAAGCGUGGGGAGCAAACAGGAUUAGAUACCCGCGUAGUC
rnacentral:rRNA from 1 species